GACGGAGGGGGCUAGCGUUGUUCGGAAUUACUGGGCGUAAAGGGCGCGUAGGCGGCCCGUCGAGUCGGGUGUGAAAGCCCGGGGCUCAACCCCGGAACGGCACCCGAGACUGGCGGGCUCGAGACCGGGAGAGGAGGGUGGAAUACCCCGUGUAGAGGUGAAAUUCGUAGAUAUUGGGUGGAACACCGGUGGCGAAAGCUGCUCUCUGGCCCGGUUCUGACGCUGAGGCUCGAAAGCGUGGGGAGCAAACAGG
rnacentral:rRNA from 1 species